AGUAAACCUUAUUUAUCUAUAAAUCCACAAUUUAUCAUUUUUCACUUAAACUAACUUCACAUUUAC
rnacentral:tRNA from 1 species